UUAAAUCAGAUCUUUUUCAUAGCGAUAUGCACAAAUAUCACCUGGAAAUUCCAGUCCGUUUUCCCUAGGAUCCGUGGACCUGGUGAAAUUUUGUGAAUGGUCCAAAUGCCAUGUGUGCAGGAAAUGAAUCCCCACAUGGAGGAGAAAAUGUUAAAGUGGCACAUCUUUUCUGAAGAAGUCAGAGGAGGAAGAGGCAACAAAAUCUAAGAGGAAGAAGCUGUUGAGCUAAGACCUACUUCAACAUUAUUGGGAAAUGAAGACAAGAAAAGCCUCAGAGGGUGAGAUGCCAGACAGUCCUGCCCACCCCCACCACACCACAGAGCUGCUUUCUGGCCUGGCAAGUCAGGAGAGGAGUCAGGAGUCCUCUUGGCAGGAAGUCACCAUCCAACCUGCUUUUUAUUGUCAUCCAAAUAGUUUCCCCAUGUUUUCUGUCAUUCCCUUCCUAUGAGUACACUUCGCUUUAGUUACUAUUGGUCUGGGACCUGUCUGCAAGGAGAGGACUAGAGAAAUGGUGGCCAGCAGAAGCUUUUCAGGGAAAGGUAGUCCAGGACACACAUGGCAUACUGCUCUCCUUGGCAUGAUCUUCAGGCCAUCAGCAGAGUGUGCUGAUGUUGACUUAUGACAAGUGUUGUGAUUCAGGGUUCACAUUUCUGCAAAGUACAUACCUCACAGAGCUUUUCCUGCAAAUAUUUUUGAAGUCGUGGAGCUGCCCUGUUUUAUGAAAACUGCUGCUCCAAAUAAUUAUGCGUAGGCUGCAAUGUAGCAUUGGGGCCGGGUGGUGCAUUAGCUGGUGACGAGGCAGGGGUUGGAAAUUUAGCUCUGCUUCAGCUCCUUUCCCUCAAGCAGAUCUCUGCAAGCAGGAAGCAGAAAGAAAUUCAUGCUUGAAAUAGAUGAAUCCAGGUUGUAGUAUUCCACUGCAGGAAAGGUUUUAUAAAAUGCACAGCCUAAGCCUUAUGUGCUGCAGAACAAUCCAGGCUCUUCUGCAAUUGCUGAAGGAGUUUUCUUCUUGAUCUAAAAUGCCUGUACUUCCAGAACAGGCUCUGACUUUUACAGUCCCAGAUGGAGCAGAAAAUGGUUGGUUUUGGAUUCAGCUCAUCAAAACCACAGACAGAAACACUGUGAUAGGCUGCAGUCAACUCUUUCCAUGAACAGGCAAGGCAGUGCAUUGGAUGAUAUGCUCUGUGGUUAUCUGCUACUUAAAUAUGCUGUCCCAAAUCUGUGUUCGUAACAAAAGUCAUGGUAGAGACUGUGAGACAAAGCUCAGUAAAGCCUCUACAACAUGACUCUCCUGUUGGAAAUAAUAAAAGAAGAAAACAUGA